rnacentral:lncRNA from 1 species
UUUUGUUGAUGAUUUCCUUUGCUGUGCAAAAGCUUUUCAUUUUGUAAUAGUCCCGUUUGCUUAUUUUUACUUUUAUUUCCCUAGCCUGAGGAGACAUAUCUAGAAAAAUGUUUCUACAGCUAAUGUCAAAGAAAUUACUGUCUAUGAAAAAUGCUGUUGGUAUGUUGGGAAGAAUUACAUUAAUUAAAUCUGUAGAUUGCAGGACACCUGGGCGGCUCAGUGGUUGAGCCUCUGCCUUCAGCUCAGGGAGUGAUCCCAGAGUAGCGGGAUCAAGUCCUGCAUCAGCUUCCCCAUGGGGAGCCUGCUUCUCCCUCUGCCUAUGUCUCUGCCUCUCUCUGUGUCUCUCAUGGAUAAAUAAAUAAAAUAUUUUUUAAAAAUCUGUAGAUUGCUUUGUGUAGUAUGAACUUUUUAGCAAUAUUGAUUCUUCUGAUCCAUGAGCAUAGAAUAUCUUUCCAUCUAUUGUGUUGACUUCAAUUUCUUUCAUCAAUGUUUUAUAGUUUUUGGAGCAUAGGUCUUUCACUUCCUUAGUUAAGUUAAUCCCUAUGUAUUUUAUUCUUUUUGGUGCACUUGUAAAUGGGAUUGCUUCCUUAAUUUUUCUUUCUGCUACUUCAUUAUUGGUGUAUAGAACUGCAACAGACUUCUGUAUGUUAAUUUUGUAUCCUGUGACUUUACUGAAUUCAUUUACCAGUUCUAGCAGUUUUUCAGUGGAAUCUAGGGUAUCAUGUUAUGUACACAAACCCAAUUUUUAAAAUUAGAUUCAAUAGAUAAAAAAUUAUGCUGUCCAAUUUCUAUGGAAGUUUCUAGAUGUGUACUUUCUUUUUUUUAGAUGUGUACUUUCACUUGAUUUCCCUAUGUCACAGCAGACCUGCAAGGACUGUCUAAGGGCCAGCACUUGUUCAGGGACCACACUUUGAGUAGCACAGAUCUAACAGUGAUUGCAUAUACAUUUCACUACUGGAAAUACAGACUCUCAUACUACAAGAAUAUUAUUGUUUUAAUCAAUGAGUUGACAUUUGGUUCUUUUAUUAAUGAGAGAAGAAUAACUGUGAUAAGCCAAAGUAAUGUGUUAGAUUUGAAAUUUUAUCCAACAAUAUUGCCCCUGAUAAAUUUCUGAUUAUAUAUACCAUUUAGGCUAAUGUUAAAAUCUGUAUUUUCCUGAGCAUAUAAGACUGCAAACAGAUGGAGGUAUCUGCCCAGGGAAUACAAUUUAUUUUGGUUAAAAAAUGUAUUGUGAAUAAUACAGUAUGUAUAUGGUCUAUAAUAUUCCUCAGAAAGAAAAUAAACCCGAGAAAGGCUAAAAGCAUAUGGAUUUACUACUUCAGAAAGCCACUACCUUACCUGGAUAUGGUACUCUCAAAUCUACAAGCCUGUUUUAUUAAACCAUGCUAUUUUACUGCUUGGAAUACCGUACCCACUCCCACCUGCAAAGUAAAAUUCUGCUUAUCUUAUAAGAUCCAGAUCAAGAGUUCUCUCUCAAGUGCUUUCUCAACAUUUCAUUCAUUCAUGCACCAUCCAUUCAUCCAUCCAUGCAACAAAGGCAUAUUGCCAGGCACCAUUCGAGAUGCUAGAGAUACAACAGUGAACAAGCCAUAGCUCCUAUCUUCUUGGAGCUUGUGUUUCAGUGAGGAAAAAAAAGAUAAACUAACAAAUGCAUUUGUAUAUAGUAUCUGGUGAGUGGUAAGUUUGCUAGAGAAACUGAAACACAGACUCAACUUACCUUCCUCAACAGAACACAGAAAGGGAUCUGAGAGACCAUUUUCUCAAUUUCCCCAAAGACGAUGCAUAGCUAUUACCAUUUUAGGUCCACAGGAGAGAAUUUAAUGCAGUACAUAUGACGGAUGCCUUAGGAAUGAGGUCUCAAUUCUCAGACAGAGACUGAAAUAGAUGGUAACCAACCUACUGUUUCAGAUACUGUGCUCCGAGCCGCCUCUCUAAGGACUCUCCAGGGGAGCAGAGACUUAAAAACAAUCCCAAAGAGUGAGCCAUGUAGGUAACUAAGGGAAGAGCAUGCCAGGCAAGGAUAAGCAAACACAAAUCCCAAAAGAAGCAGGGAACUUGAGUCUCAAGGAGAGCUGGGAGACCUGUGUGAUUAGAACAGAGUGAGCAAAGAGUAGAGCAACAGGAGACAAGGACAACACGUGAGGGUCAUUAAGCAGAGAGGCGCUCCCGGCAAGCCUUGCUGGCCUACUGCUUUGUUCGCAGGGCAGCACCUGGCACCACCACCCUGUUCCUGUGCAGUUAGCGACGCACUGUCUGAAGGCAGGCCCAUGUGAUGUUCAUCUUC